rnacentral:misc_RNA from 1 species
AUUUUUUUAAGAAAUUUGACUGUUUCUUUAUUUGAUGUUGAAUGUUAUGUAAAAGGGAAAAGUUUUGAAAGACUAAAAUUUUCAAUUUUUAUUCUUCAUUAUUAUUAUUUUUGAAAAUGGCAUAACAUGAUGUACUCUUUGAUCGUUAAAAUUCCUUGUGUUUAUAAAUGGAAUAAGCAGGAACCUGAGGUCGAAUAUGUU